rnacentral:lncRNA from 1 species
UUCUAAUUCUAAAUCUUAGUGACUUGAGUUAUAAAACUGACAAGAUUUCAUGCCUAUUAUACACAUGACAACUAAAACAAAGUAACUAAUAUUAUAUAUGCAGUAAAUUUUACUGAUGGUCAGGUCUGCAUAAUCACAAAAUGAUUUAUGACUGCUUGUUUUACCAUGUCCAGUUGACCAUACAAUAAAAUUCAUAGCCAAC